CAGGAGAGAGUUCAAUGCAAAGAACUCCAUUCUUCCCUUCUCCCAGGGUGAGGAUAACACCAUAAAUGUGCUUUCCAGAGGCACAUUUUUAGCACUGUCUCUGGAUAAGUUUAAUUAGAGAGAAGAGACUAUCAUGAAAAACUUUUAUUCAGUGACCUAGAACCAAAGAAAAUGAGAAUGACCAGAAAAGGGACAGUUGGUAUUCAGUUAUUUGAUUCUUGUUCUUGUUGGCUUUUUGGAUCCUCUCCUCUGUCGACUUUUCCAUGGAUGCACUUUUACAUGCUGCAGAACUGAGUUUCCACCUAUUUUCUGUAACCAUCUUAUGUAAACGCAGUUUCAGCCAGAAGCAAUGCCUUGGUGAUUCAUACAACUUUCUGGGAUCUUUUGAUUAACAGAGAAAAAGUCAUAAGAUCAGCAAGAAGAGAAACUGUAGAUUUGCCUCAACUCAACAUGUUAAGUAAUCGCCUGACAUCUACAUAAGACCACCUCUUGGCACCUGGCUACACAAGCUGAAAUGGUAAAACUCCUUGAGAAACCACACAAGGAUGGAAUACUUGCUUAGAGACAUGAGAGUAGCCUAGAAUCUAAGAAUCUGUACUUCCUUCUACAGUUGUCUUUGGAAAAAGAAUAGACAUUCAUGGCAGACCAAAGAUCACUCUCUGAAGGUGUUAUGUGAGAAAUCCACACAGGAGAAACCCAAGAAAACCACGCAGGUAAAUGCUAGCCUGGAAAGACAGAGGGAAAACAUGCCAAGUGGAGCCCACCACAAGGACAGCAGUCAGAGCCCAAGAGCCCAGCUUUAAAAGGGCUGCAUACCAAAAGGAACAAAAGCACAAAACAAACAAACAAACAAACAAACAAGCAAAUGAUGGUGGAAACUAUUUUCAAAACUUCCCUGUUCUGGUAAAGACGUUUUCAGAGCUCAAACUAGUCCUGCUGAAAAUAUUUUUUAAAAUAUGAAAGCAUAGCGGAAAAUUUGUAUGAAAAAGAAAAAAGAAAAAGAAGGAGGAGGAAGAAGAAGAAGAAAGAAGAAAAAGGAGAGGAAGAAGAAGAAGGAGGAGGAGGAGAAGAAGAGGAGGAGGAGGAGGAGGAAAUGGCAGAGACAAUGUAUGUCCCAGAAAGCCUAAAAUGUGUACUGUUUGUCCGUUUAUAGAAAAAGUGUGCCAGUCCCUACUCUGUUCCCAAUUUUAAAAACAAAUAAAUAAAAAGAAAAACAAGCAAGUCUCUCAGCCAAGAAAGAAUCGAUGGGAACUUUUUCAACUUUAUAAAGUGGAUCUACAAAAAACUACAACUAACACUAACGUCACACCUAAUGGUGAAAGUCUGAAUGUUUUCCCUCUAAGACUAGGAAAAGGUGGCAUGGAUGUCCACUCUCCCUACUCUAUUCAGCAUUGUAUCAAAAGUUCUUAUCAGUGAAAUAAGACAAGAAAACAAUAAAUGGCAUCCAUAUUGGAAAAGAAGUAACACUGUCUUUAUUUGCAGAUGACAUUAUAAUCUAAAUAGAAAAUCUUAUGGAAUCUGCUAAAAAGCUAAUAGAACCAAUAAGCGAGUUUAGCAUAGUUACAAGACACAACAUAUAAAAAUUAAUUAUAUUUCAAAAUACUAGCAAUGAACAAUUAAAUUUUCCUUUUAAAAUUUUCAACAACAUCAAGACAUGAACCACUGGGGGAUAAACCCCAUGAAACAUGGCAGAAAAAAAUUCAGGAA
rnacentral:lncRNA from 1 species